rnacentral:rRNA from 1 species
CAGCCGUAAACAAUGUGCGUUAGGUGUGUCGGUAACCACGUGUUACUGAUGCGCCGAAGAGAAAUCGUGAAACGCACCACCUGGGAAGUACGGUCGCAAGGCUGAAACUUAAAGGAAUUGGCGGGGGAGCACCACAACAGGUGGAGCCUGCGGUUUAAUUGGAUUCAACGCCGGACAUCUCACCGGAUAAGACAGCUGAAUGAUUGUCAAUCUGGAGGUUUUACAUGACUAGCUGAGAGGUGGUGCAUGGCGUCAGUGACU